AACACGGACCAAGGAGUCUAACAUGUGCGCGAGUCAAAGGGCUGGCUAAACCCCUAGGCGCAACGAAAGCGAAAAAGGCCUCUUCGGAGGCCGUUGGGUCGAUCCGUGCUCCCUUUAGUGGACCGGCGCAGACCCGGGGCUCGCCGUUACCUCUUCGUUCCCUCGCAAGGGGGUUCGCGGCGGGCGGCGGGCACCUUGAGCGUACAUGCUAGUACCCGAAAGAUGGUGAUCUAUGCCUGGCCAGGACGAAGCCAGAGGAAACUCUGGUGGAGGUCCGUAGCGAUUCUGACGUGCAAAUCGAUCGUCAGAGCU
rnacentral:rRNA from 1 species